rnacentral:rRNA from 1 species
AAGCGCUUGUGACCAGACUUGCGCCAGGUGGAUCAUCCAGCGUUCUCGCUGGUGCACUCUGCCUGGUUCAGGCCAGCAUCGGUUUGGGCGGUUGGAUAAAGGUCUCUGUCACGUACCUCCUCUCGGGGAGGCCUUAUAGGGGAGACGACAUGCAACCAGCCUGGACUGAGGUCCGCGCAUCUGCUAGGAUGCUGGCGUAAUGGCUGUAAGCGG